CUCAGUUCGGAUUGUAGGCUGCAACUCGCCUACAUGAAGCGGAAUCGCUAGUAAUCGCGGAUCAGCACGCCGCGGUGAAUACGUUCCCGGGCCUUGUACACACCGCCCGUCACACCACGAGAGUUUGUAACACCCGAAGUCGGUGAGGUAACCAAUUUGGAGCCAGCCGCCUAAGGUGGGAUAGAUGAUUGGGGUGAAGUCGUAACAAGGUAGC
rnacentral:rRNA from 1 species